UGGGGAAUUUUGGACAAUGGGGGAAACCCUGAUCCAGCCAUCCCGCGUGUGCGAUGAAGGCCUUCGGGUUGUAAAGCACUUUUGGCAGGAAAGAAACGUCAUGGGUUAAUACCCCGUGAAACUGACGGUACCUGCAGAAUAAGCACCGGCUAACUACGUGCCAGCAGCCGCGGUAAUACGUAGGGUGCAAGCGUUAAUCGGAAUUACUGGGCGUAAAGCGUGCGCAGGCGGUUCGGAAAGAAAGAUGUGAAAUCCCAGAGCUCAACUUUGGAACUGCAUUUUUAACUUCCGGGCUAGUGUGUGUCAGAGGGAGGUGGAAUUCCGCGUGUAGCAGUGAAAUGCGUAGAUAUGCGGAGGAACACCGAUGGCGAAGGCAGCCUCCUGGGAUAACACUGACGCUCAUGCACGAAAGCGUGGGGAGCAAACAGG
rnacentral:rRNA from 1 species